CUCCCAAAGCCACGCAUUCACUGAUGCCACUGGCUUGUGGUGGAUGUUGGAGUGGCAUUAUAGCCUCUCGGUGACAGUCACCACCUUCACGGUAGGCCUCUCUUUGCUUUCCUAUCCCAGUAUGCAACAUUCCCAACCCUCUGCCAAUCAAAAGUAGACACAUCUUUAUUUCCUCCUGCCCUGGCUAAUGUGGUUGGCUUUUGAGCCUGUCUUAGCAAUACAUCCCUGAACUGCAUACAUUUGGUCCUAAAGGCUGCCACCAAGCUUCUCACCAAGUCUCCCAGAAGGUCUUGUGUGAAAACAAGUUUUCAUGCUUGACAAAGGCU
rnacentral:misc_RNA from 1 species